AUUGAACGCUGGCGGAAUGCUUUACACAUGCAAGUCGAACGGUAGAGGGGGCAACCCCUCGAGAGUGGCGAACGGGUGAGUAAUAUAUCGGAACGUGCCCAGUCGUGGGGGAUAACGUAGCGAAAGUUACGCUAAUACCGCAUACGAUCUAAGGAUGAAAGCGGGGGAUCGCAAGACCUCGCGCGAUUGGAGCGGCCGAUAUCAGAUUAGGUAGUUGGUGGGGUAAAGGCUCACCAAGCCAACGAUCUGUAGCUGGUCUGAGAGGACGACCAGCCGCACUGGAACUUGGACACGGUCCAGACUCCUACGGGAGGCAGCAGUGGGGAAUUUUGGACAAUGGACGUAAGUCUGAUCCAGCCAUUCCGCGUGCAGGAUGAAGGCCCUCGGGUUGUAAACUGCUUUUGUACGGAACGAAAAGGUCUCUCUUAAUACGGGGGACUCAUGACGGUACCGUAAGAAUAAGCACCGGCUAACUACGUGCCAGCCGCCGCCGCGG
rnacentral:rRNA from 1 species